CGUGCCCACACCGGAGCAGGACCCACGCUGGAGCUGCAUCCAUCGUAAGCCAAACAUCUGCCCAGCUGUUGGAUUUCAAGAAGAACUUCCUGGCUUUCAGAGCUGGAGGCAGGCCUUUCUCCAGCCAUUAUUGGCUACUGCUUUCCUGCAAGAACAAUUUAACCCCUGUGAUGUUCAGGGCACUGGACAGAAGUAAAUAUAAUAAAAUUUAACCUUUUCCU